rnacentral:rRNA from 1 species
AACGAACGCUGGCGGCAUGCCUAACACAUGCAAGUCGAACGAGACCUUCGGGUCUAGUGGCGCACGGGUGCGUAACGCGUGGGAACCUGCCCUUAGGUUCGGAAUAACUCCCCGAAAGGGGUGCUAAUACCGGAUAAUGUCUUCGGACCCAAGAUUUAUCGCCUUUGGAUGGGCCCGCGUUGGAUUAGCUAGUUGGUAGGGUAAAAGCCUACCAAGGCGACGAUCCAUAGCUGGUCUGAGAGGAUGAUCAGCCACACUGGGACUGAGACACGGCCCAGACUCCUACGGGAGGCAGCAGUGGGGAAUAUUGGACAAUGGGCGAAAGCCUGAUCCAGCAAUGCCGCGUGAGUGAUGAAGGCCUUAGGGUUGUAAAGCUCUUUUACCCGGGAUGAUAAUGACAGUACCGGGAGAAUAAGCUCCGGCUAACUCCGUG